UUGUGCCGUAGCGGAAGCUGCGGCUGGAUCACCUCCUUUCUAGGGAGACCUAGAUACGUCGACCGGGCUUGGACGGACGCCUCGAGCGUCCGGGCGCUGCUCAGUUUUCAGAGACGCCGGCGGGAGACCCCCGUGCGGUCGCCUCCGUGGACCUUGAAAACUGCACUAGGCCGAGCGUCCCCACUCCGGGGACGCUUAUGAGUGCUCCAUUGCAUUAAACGGGUCGCGCCUGGCGGCGCACCCUCGCAUGAAGCACUCAAAGGGUAAGAAGCCGAGCUCUCACGCCUCGAGCGUGAGGGCAGCUCACCGUCAAGAUAGUAAGGGCACACGGUGGAUACCUAGGCACACAGAGA
rnacentral:misc_RNA from 1 species